rnacentral:rRNA from 1 species
UAGGGUGAGAGACCCUCUCGCCGUAAGUCCAAGGGUUCCUGCGCAGUGCUAAUCAGCGCAGGGUUAGCCGGCCCCUAAGUCGAGGCAGAAAUGCGUAGACGAUGGGAACCACGUUAAUAUUCGUGGGCCUGGUGGUAGUGACGGAUCUCGCGGGUCUGUAUCCCCUUAUUGGAUUGGGGGUGCAGUGAGCAGGUUCCAGGAAAUAGCUCCACCAACAUAGACCGUACCCUAAACCGACACAGGUGGACAGGUAGAGCAUACCAAGGCGCUUGAGAGAACUAUGCUGAAGGAACUCGGCAAAUUGCACGCGUAACUUCGGGAUAAGCGUGACCUUGUUUGGCGCAAGCUGACCAGGGUGGCACAAAAAAGGGGGUAGCGACUGUUUAUUAAAAACACAGGGCUCUGCGAAGUUGCAAAACGACGUAUAGGGUCUGACGCCUGCCCGGUGCCGGAAGGUUAAAAGGAGAUGUGAAAGCAUUGAAUUGAAGCCCCGGUAAACGGCGGCCGUAACAAUAACGGUCCUAAGGUAGCGAAAUUCCUUGUCGGGUAAGUUCCGACCUGCACGAAUGGCGUAACGACUUCCCCACUGUCUCCAGCAUAGACUCAGCGAAAUUGAAUUCCCCGUGAAGAUGCGGGGUUCCUGCGGUCAGACGGAAAGACCCCAUGAACCUUUACUAUAGCUUUGCGCUGGCACUUGUGUCGGCAUGUGCAGGAUAGGUGGUAGGCUUUGAAGCUGGGACGCUAGUUCCGGUGGAGCCGCAAGAUGAGAUACCACCCUUAUCGUCAUAGGUGUCUAACCGCGGUGUAACAGCACCCGGGACAGCGCAUGGUGGGUAGUUUGACUGGGGCGGUCGCCUCCCAAAGAGUAACGGAGGCGCGCGAUGGUGGGCUCAGACCGGUCGGAAAUCGGUCGUCGAGUGCAAUGGCAUAAGCCUGCCUGACUGCGAGACUGACAAGUCGAGCAGAGUCGAAAGACGGUCAUAGUGAUCCGGUGGUCCCGCGUGGAAGGGCCAUCGCUCAACGAAUAAAAGGUACUCUGGGGAUAACAGGCUGAUACUGCCCAAGCGUCCAUAGCGACGGCAGUGUUUGGCACCUCGAUGUCGGCUCAUCACAUCCUGGGGCUGGAGCAGGUCCCAAGGGUAUGGCUGUUCGCCAUUUAAAGUGGUACGUGAGCUGGGUUCAGAACGUCGUGAGACAGUUCGGUCCCUAUCUGCCGUGGGUGUAGGAAUGUUGAGAAGAGCUGACCCUAGUACGAGAGGACCGGGUUGGACGAAUCUCUGGUGGACCUGUUGUCGCGCCAGCGGCAUUGCAGGGUAGCUAUAUUCGGACGGGAUAACUGCUGAAAGCAUCUAAGCAGGAAGCCUCCUUCAAAACGAGCAUUCCCUUGAGAGCCGUGGAAGACCACCACGUUGAUAGGCUGGAUGUGGAAGCGCCGUAAGGUGUGAAGCUGACCAGUACUAAUAGCUU